rnacentral:rRNA from 1 species
UACGUAGGGUGCAAGCGUUGUCCGGAAUUAUUGGGCGUAAAGAGCUCGUAGGCGGUCUGUCGCGUCUGCUGUGAAAACUCAGGGCUUAACCCUGAGCUUGCAGUGGGUACGGGCAGACUAGAGUGCGGUAGGGGGAGACUGGAAUUCCUGGUGUAGCGGUGAAAUGCGCAGAUAUCAGGAGGGAAACACCCGGUGGCGAAGGCGGGUCUCUGGGCC